rnacentral:rRNA from 1 species
CCUCAAGGCAGGUAGGGACGGAACAGGGGGGGGAAGCCCCGGCUAACUACGUGCCAGCAGCCGCGGUAAUACGGAGGGGGCUAGCGUUAUCCGGAUUGACUGGGCGUAAAGGGUGCGUAGGCGGUCUUGCAAGUCAGGAGUGAAAGGCUACGGCUCAACCGUAGUAAGCUCUUGAAACUGGGAGACUUGAGUGCAGGAGAGGAGGGUGGAAUUCCUAGUGUAGCGGUGAAAUGCGUAGAUAUUAGGAGGAACACCA